rnacentral:lncRNA from 1 species
UGGUUCAAUUUCUAUGUGGAUCACCAUUGGAGGGUGGAUACUUGGAUGCCUUGUAAAAAUUAAAAUUAGCACUAUAGAUAUUUUUCUUAUUCUAAUUUAUAUUUAUUAUGCUUUGAUUAUUAUAGUCAAGAGUUUUUGGGCAUUAGGGCUUUCGGUGCAUUGGAUAUUUUGAAUGAAAAUUUUAAACACCUAACCCUUUUGCUGUGCC